CCCCCCAAUACAAUAAGACAAUAAAAUCAUCGUCCUUUCCCCAAUUCUUUUCUCUCACUGCAGCUUCACCUUAAUUGCCUCCUUAACCUAAUUCAUUACUUUCAACUCUCUGCUGCAUGUGUCUUCAGAUUAUGCUCACCCAUAUAUUGCAAAUCUCCAUCCCUUUCUCUAUUGGUAAGUAUUUCUUUGCUCAAAACUUUUAUGUUUUUUUCAAUUUUUGUUUUGUUCUUAUACUUUAAGAUUCAUUUUUUUUAGUUUCUUACUAAUGGGGAUGAAAAAUAAUCUUUUAUUGUGUACAAUAUCUGGGUAUCUUGAUACAAUCUUUGUUUUAGACUCAAAGUUUUGAACGUUUUAUAAUUUCAGAUUCUUGGGCUAAAAAGAAGUAAUUUUAUUUUGUUUAAUUUUUGGGUAUGCUUCGUUAAUUGGGUUUUCGUUUACACUAAUUUGUCUUCUGGGUAACUGUAGAUUUAUUGAUAUGUACUGUUUUGGACCUUUAUUUGUCUGCUUACAUUGUGUUAUUUUUCUUGGGUUAAAUAGAUUAAUUUGGGUUCUGGGUAAGUGUAUUUUGUUGGUUUUCUUGUGAUUAACUAUUUGUGGGUUCUUUAAGAUAGACUUUUUAUUGAUGACAUAUUUUUUUCUUUAGAUUUGUAGACAUUUAAGUACUCUUUUGGACCUUUAUUUUGUCUGUUUCAUUUGUAUUUUUUUGUUAAUUGUUUGUGGGGUUUUAGUUUAGGCUUGGAAUCCCAAUUGAAUUGUUCUCUGAAGCAUUACGUCGAACACUCAAUGCCUUAGAAGAAAACAUACUGCCUCGCUUGUUCUUGUCCCUGCCUCACUGGUAGUAGCUGGAAUUAUUUAUUGCAAAGUAUAGGAUCUUUUAGAGUUGAUGAGUUCAUAUCAACACCCUCCUCAUCUGCUAGGAUUUCAAAUCCAUUUGGACUGGAUGUAGUUUAGCAUAAUAGUGCAACUAAGAAGUAUGGGGGUUGGGGUACAAAUGGGGUGUGGAAGCUAAAUGCAAGAUGAAAAGGAUUACCAGUUACAACAUAUAGCGCACAUAAUGCAUGAAAGUCGAGAUCGAUCCUGCAUUGAAAAAACAGUAUAACCAUAUUUCAGCGUUGGUAUAAAAUUCAGGAACAAUGAAUUUUGAGAAAAAAGACUAACCAGAUGAUGAAUAGGCACUGCAGUCAAAGUUCCAAUCGGCCAUUGUUGGUCUUUAAUUCUCUGCAUUUGUCCGGAAGAAACUACGACUGGUUAUGGACUAUGUUGCUUGACCAAAAGUCCUUCGAAUCAAGGGAAGUGUUAGCGAUACUCUUUUCUGGGGUUGACUGUGAUGGCCCCUCAGGGGUUGCACUUCAGCAAUUAGCCUUUGUUUUUAAAGGUGUUUGAAUAUUUUUGUUUCUUAACUUCUUUACUCUUCGGAAACUUUUUUAAGUUUUUAGAAUAUUGAAAUAAAAUGCUACCUAAACCCCCCAACUGGGAUUUAAAGGACUAACUGUGUGCAUUCCUUUUCAAGCAGUUUGAGAGUUUUUUUUUGUUGACAAAAGUUUAGAGAAAUAUGGUAGUAGAUAAGUGCUCAUUGUUGUUUCUCAAUUGAAGAUGUAUUACUUUAUAAGAGAUGCUUCACAACAUUAAAUUAGUGACAACUGAAUGUAUUAUCACUAUGAUUAAUCAUAAUUCGAAGAGUUUCCUAUUACAAACAAACUUAAGUUUGAUUAGAACUUUCAACUGAUGAUUCUUUUGACUGUGUAGCAAUUUGGCGGAGGGGGUUGAGUUGGAGCAUCACAAUGUAACUCAUGCUAUUGUGUUACUCCUUAAAGUUCUGUAUAUUAUGAUUUUUUCUCUUUUAAUACCUAUUUUUCCCUGUUGUGUCCAAUAAUACAUGAGUUUUAUUUGUAUUUUUAUACAUGGUUUGAGAAUAUUUUUGUGCAGACUAAUUAUUGAGAUUCUGUAUAUUGAAGGCAUAUAUGACUCUUAAACUUAAAGAGUGUGCUUGUGCAAAAACCUUAUGGGUUUAAGCUUAGAUAAGACGACAAAUUGGCUAUUCAAGAUCAAUAUUUACCUUUAAAUUUUUUUCUCAAUUUAUAUUGGGGGAAAAAAUAUCUCAGGUUUUUUCUCUUGUACAUAGAUGCAAGCUUUUUCUAUUUCUUCCUGUAGUUCUUUCCACUUUUUAUGAUAUUGGCUGCCUAUUUUUCAGUUUAAUGAAGAAUCACGUUCGCCUUUUAUAAAGAAGUACAAUACUAUUAUUGAUCAUGCUGAGGUACAUCUUUCUUUGCUCUAUCUUAUUGUAGGAUCCAAACUUGAAUUUUUACAAACUUAGGUUAUAUUGUUAAAAGUUUGUGUAACUUUUAUAUAAUACAAACGGAGGACCACCGAUGUUCAGUUAGUAGAAACUAAAAUAACCUAUAAGUAGAUAACUUCAUGUAACUGACUAUGUUCCAGGAAGUUUAAUAUGGAUAAAAACUUCAUGUAGCUUUGUUUGGCUAAUUUGAAUUAAACAUGGGAAGUUAAAACUGAGGUCCUCUACUCUUCCUUUUCGUUUCAAGUCUGUUAAAGCAUCUAAUAAAUCGAAACAACUGUGAGUGGUUAUUAAGUGUUAAUUCUUCCAAUAUUGAACCUUACUUUGUUGCACAACUUUGUGAUAAUGGAACUUCUUUUGGGCUACUUACUACAAACUGAAUUAUCUAUAAAAAUUAUGAAGUCAUACUUGCAAUUAGAAAAUUGGGUAAUGUACUUAAUAAAAUAUUUUAAUAACAAUACCUAUACAUACAUAUAUACNUAAAGUCCAUCUCUAAUGGCUUUUGCUUUUCUUUUACUUUGUUCUUCCAGUUAUAUAUCCUUUCGUUCUUUAGUCUUUACUUAAAAUAAGUAAAUGUGUUUGGGAAAGUAAAAAAUUUGCUACAUUUGUACCCAACCUAUCUGGGAGGAAGCAAUGAUAAUAGAAGUACUUCAAAAUUCUAAUUUCAAUGUCAAAGUAGAAUCCUAAUACUUAAUGGAAUGAGACUUAAGGAAAAAAAGUGUAUAUCGUCCCAAUGAGAUACCUGAAGUUCAAUUCUAUCAAUUGAUUGAGCAUUGGGAUGACGAAGAUGUCCAAGUAAGAUUAAACUGUGCAUUUCUACAUUUUCUACCUUUUGUUGCAGUAUAUAUUUUUUUCUUUUUGAUUUAUUAAUUAAUAUGCUUCUUUUGUUGUUAGGCUAUGUGCCAAUUAAAUUCUGAAAACAGGAAAAACAAGUGGAGGCAUCGAAUGUGACCUAUUAAUUUUGCAAGAGUGCGUGUGGCAUUGGGCGAAACCAAAGAGAACAAUGAGGAAUCAUCAAAGUCUGAAAUAUUUAUUACAACUCGUACAAAGAAAGAGAAGGAAGUUCAUUCGGAUACUCAAGUUGCAAUAUCUGAAUUUUGGAAUCGUCAAAGUUCCGGAGAAACAACAGAUGAUGCAUUUGGGGCUGUUGGAAAGGAGCAGCCUGGUCUGGUUAGAUGCUAUGAUAGAUCGGUGACGACAAGCUCUCUGAGAAAAAAAUGAAGAAAUCACCAAGCUUAAACAACAGCAUGCCAACGAAAUAACUUCUCUGAAGGAAGAAAUGAAGGAAAUGAUGAGAGAAGAAAUAUUAUGAUUUUUUAGUCAAUUGGUGAAAAACAACCCUGGACUGGAUUUUCAUGAUAUACAAGGGUGUGUUGGAUCUAAUAUUCCUUCACCGGUUGAUGCAAGUAGUGCACGAGCUAUGAGAGACCAUAAUCUACCACAUUCUUCUGGCUCAACACAUGCCUCGAGUCUUGAAAAGGAAAAUACGGGUGAUGUAAUUGGAAAUGGUGGCCACAAAUUAAUUUGAUUCAUAAAAGUGAAUGAUCCAGGUACUUCAGAGUUAGUCGAUCGCUAGCUAGCUAUAUGGAUCUGCUGUUGAGACUCAAGGUAAACCUACUGCUGCAUUCGUAGGCUUCGGAGUCACCUUCUGAUGUUGUAUUUGCAUUGUUCAUCCUUAUUUCGAAACAGUUGUAUUUAGAGUUUUUUCUAGCAAACUCAGUAGAACUUAUGACUUCUACUACCAGUUUUGGAAUUUUUAAGUCUUGUAUAGAGAUUCUACUUCGCAUUUGUCA